CCUACGGGUGGCUGCAGUGGGGAAUAUUGCACAAUGGGCGCAACCCUGAUGCAGCGACGCCGCGUGCGUGAAGAAGUCUCUCUGUAUGUAAAGCUCUAUUUGCAGGGAAGAAAAUGACGGUACGUGCUUACGAAUCCCCGGCUAACUCCGAGACAGCAGCCGCGGUACUACGUAGGGGGCAGCCGUUAUCCGGAUUUACUGGGUGUAAAGGGAGCGUAGUCGGCAGCACGAGUCCGGAGUGAAAUGCUGGGGCUUAACCCCGGAACUGCUGUUGAAACUGUGGAGCUAGAGUGCGGGAGAGGUAAGUGGAAUUCCUGGUGUAGCGGUGAAAUGCGUAGAUAUUAGGAGGAACACCAGUGGCGAAGGCGGCAUACUGGACUGUAACUGACGCUGAGGCGCGAAAGCGUGGGGAGCAAACAGGAUUAGAUACCCGAGUAGUC
rnacentral:rRNA from 1 species